rnacentral:tRNA from 1 species
AACUCCUUAGUACAGAGGUAGUAUAGUAGACUACGAAUCUAUAGACCCGGGUUCAAUUCCCGGAGGGGUUG